GAAGAUUUCCAAAGCAAAUUUGACCAGAAGCUGUUCAGAAUUCAAGUGAAGAAGCCAUUUGGCCGUGCUUCAUCCACAUCAUCUUCAAAACUGUAUAUCCAGUCAUGCAUUGAAAAGGAAAACAUUAUUCAUUCUCUCCAAACACCAGCCACAAGAUCAAUCAAUAUCGUCGAAAGCAAGAAAAGGAAAAAAGAACAUGUAUCUUCCCAUGAUACAAAAACAAACCUCGCCAACCGAACAAGGUGAAUCAAUCAAGAUGAAACGGUAAACUCGGAGCCAACAACUCAAAGUGAAAAGGAAAUGAAGGUUAACCAACUAAUUUUGCAACCACUUUUGGCUUUCAUGGAACAAAGUUGUUUUGCAGGAAAAUGAAGUGUUCACUAUAACUUACUCAAUUUUUGGCUUGUACAUAGAUUUCCAGUAACUUCUAUAGUCAUGGAAUAAAGGAAGCACCAGCUGUUGUUAAAUCCUACUAUGACAAAAGAAUUGUAGGAUGUCCAGGAAGUGAA